CGCCGGAGGUGAUACCCGCGGAAAAGGUGUGCUUUGAAGGUAUGAAUGAGGUCCUCCCGGAUGGCGAUCAAGUGCAUGUCAAGAACCGAACACAUAACUCGAAGCUUCCGCACUAAACUUAAUUUUGUCUAAACUUUAAACAUGUCGUAUUUUCUUUUGUUGACUAUGUUUUAAAUCCCUCGAACUAGUGAUUAGUAUACUAGCAGGGAUUACUUUUA